rnacentral:rRNA from 1 species
AAUAUUGGACAGAUGGGCGAAAGCUUGAUACAGCCAAUGGCGAGUGAGUGAAGACGGCCAUAGGGUUGUAAAGCUCUUUCAACGGUGAAGAUUAAGUCGGUAACCGUAGAAGAAGCCCCGGCUAACUUCGUGCCAGCAGCCGCGGUAAUACGAAGGGGGGCAAGCGUUGUUCGGAAUUACUGGGGGUAAAGAGACGUAGGCGGUUUGUCAAGUCAGAUGUGAAAGCCCAGGGCUCAACCCUGGAAGUGCAUUUGAUACUGGCUCACUUGAGUGUUAGAGAGGUAAGCAGAAUUCCCAGUGUAGAGGUGAAAUUCGUAGAUAUUGGGAGGAAUACCGGUUGCGAAGGCGGCUUACUGGCUAACAACUGACGCUGAGGUACGAAAGCGUGGGGAGCAAACAGGAUUAGAUACCCUGGUAGUCCACGCCGUA